AGUGAACGCUGGCGGUAGGCCUAACACAUGCAAGUCGAACGGCAGCACAGUAAGAGCUUGCUCUUACGGGUGGCGAGUGGCGGACGGGUGAGGAAUACAUCGGAAUCUACUUUUUCGUGGGGGAUAACGUAGGGAAACUUACGCUAAUACCGCAUACGACCUACGGUUGAAAGCAGGGGAUCUUCGGACCUUGCGCGAUUGAAUGAGCCGAUGUCGGAUUAGCUAGUUGGCGGGGUAAAGGCCCACCAAGGCGACGAUCCGUAGCUGGUCUGAGAGGAUGAUCAGCCACACUGGAACUGAGACACGGUCCAGACUCCUACGGGAGGCAGCAGUGGGGAAUAUUGGACAAUGGGCGCAAGCCUGAUCCAGCCAUACCGCGUGGGAGAAGAAGGCCUUCGGGUUGUAAAGCCCUUUUGUUGGGAAAGAAAAGCAGCAGGUUAAUACCCCGCUGUUCUGACGGUACCCAAAGAAUAAGCACCGGCUAACUUCGUG
rnacentral:rRNA from 1 species